rnacentral:rRNA from 1 species
UACGAAGGGUGCAAGCGUUACUCGGAAUUACUGGGCGUAAAGCGUGCGUAGGCGGUUUGUUAAGUCUGUCGUGAAAGCCCCCGGGCUCAACCUGGGAAUGGCGAUGGAAACUGGCGAGCUAGAGUACGGUAGAGGAGAGUGGAAUUCCCGGUGUAGCAGUGAAAUGCGUAGAGAUCGGGAGGAACAUCAGUUGCGAAGGCGGCUCUCUGGACCAGUACUGACGCUGAGGCACGAAAGCGUGGGGGAGCAAACAGG